GGAGUCUGGGCCGUGUCUCAGUCCCAAUGUGGCCGUCCGCCCUCUCAGGCCGGCUACUGAUCGUUGCUUUGGUGGGCCGUUGCCCCGCCAACUGGCUAAUCAGACGCGGAUCCAUCUUGAACCGAUAAAUCUUUUCACACUGUAUGAUGCCAUACCGUGCGCUUAUGCGGUAUUACCAGUCGUUUCCAACUGCUAUCCCCCAGUUCAAGGCAGGUUAUCCACGCGUUACUCACCCGUCCGCCACUAAGUUGAAAAAAAUCCGUCCGAAAACUUUAUCUUAUCAACUCCGUUCGACUUGCAUGUGUUAGGCACGCCGCCAGCGUUCAUC
rnacentral:rRNA from 1 species